rnacentral:misc_RNA from 1 species
AGCAGCCGCGGUAAUUCCAGCUCCAAUAGCGUAUAUUAAAGUUGCUGCAGUUAAAAAGCUCGUAGUUGAAUUUCGGGACCAUCAUGUUGGUCGUGCCUCGGUACGUACUGGCAUUGUUGGUUUCUCCCUUCUGACGAACCAUGAUGUCAUUUAUUUGGUGUCGUGGGAAAUCAGGACUGUUACUUUGAAAAAUUAGAGUGUUUAAAGCAGGCUCACGCUUGAAUACAUUAGCAUGGAAUAAUGAAAUAGGACGUUUGAUUCUAUUUUGUUGGUUUCUAGGAUCGACGUAAUGAUUAAUAGGGAUAGUUGGGGGCAUUAGUAUUCAAUUGUCAGAGGUGAAAUUCUUGGAUUUAUUGAAGACUAACUACUGCGAAAGCAUUUGCCAAGGAUGUUUUCAUUAAUCAAGAACGAAAGUUAGGGGAUCGAAGACGAUCAGAUACCGUCGUAGUCUUAACCAUAAACUAUGCCGACUAGGGAUCGGAUGAUGUUAAUUUUAAUGACUCAUUCGGACG